rnacentral:tRNA from 6 species
ACGUAGCUCAGUUGGUUAGAGCACAUCACUCAUAAUGAUGGGGUCACAGGUUCGAAUCCCGUCGU